rnacentral:lncRNA from 1 species
AGUAUUUGUGCAGGUCAGCCAUUCUCUUGAGAAGUAUUAUUUGGGCACCCACUGUGUGUAGGUAAGCCCCAGGGCACAGAGCUGGACACAACAGGCCAGCGUUCUGGACAUACAAGGCGAGUGUGCUCACUGGGCAAGACGGGGGCUCCCAGGCCAGACCAGAUGGGCCUGUCAGUGAAGGCUGAAACUGGAGGCAAACUGAGUUGGUUAAAAGGAAAGAGGAGGAGAGAGAGUGAUGUGUAUUCCAGGCAGAGAGAACAGCGUGUGCGGAGGCCACCUCUGAGGGAAGAGAGCCCAGGCAUUAGAGGAAUUGAAAGUAGUUUGGCCUGGCUAAAUUUUGGCAGCAAGAGGCAAAGGGAUGAUGCUGAGAACACAACAGAGCUGGACUGGGCAGGAUCUUUGGGAACUGAGCUAAAGCAAUGAGGAAGAGCACUGGGGAGCCAUGCAAAGGGCUUGAGCAGGGCAUCAGCACCACUGCAUUUGUAAAUGGGAGCAAGCUCAAUUUGUGUUAUGAGGAGUGGGUCAGAGCCCCGGAAACAUUGAGGUGGCCUGUGGAUCGAACUCGGGUCCUUGUGUUUGCGCAGCAGGCGGCGGACAUCACUGAGCUAAAUCCCCAGCCCCCCUGUCGCUUUCUGAAGCAGUUCUAAAAGUCCUCUUUCCUGAGUGUCUUUACAAGGUGUGAUCAAAAUACAGUGACUGCUGCUGCCAAGCGCCGUCCAACAGAAAGGCAGGCUGGGAAAAACAUCCUCAUCUUAACCCACUGGAUCUGGUAUGGGUGACUUCUGGCUCUUCCCCCAAAUCAAAAUAACCAUAAAUGAUUUUGAAUCCAUUCAGGACAUCAAGAUGGCCACACCUGCUCAACUAAAUGUAAAAUUUUUAAAUGGAAACAUCUGCUGUAUUUUUUUUUUUUUUUUUUGGUACCAGGGAUCGAACUCGGGUCCUCAGCUUUCCGAGGCAGGGGCCAGAACCACUGAGCUAAAUCCCUGGCCCUGCUGUAUUUUUUUUUUUUAAUCAUACCUCAUAUGUUAAUGAUCCUGU